rnacentral:rRNA from 1 species
AGACGGAGGGCUCUAACGUUGUUCGGAAUCACUGGGCAUAAAGAGCACGUAGGCUGCCCGCUCAGUCAUAUGUGAAAGCCCCCGGCUCAACCGGGGAAUUGCAUGUGAUACUAGCGGGCUCGAGGACGGCAGGGGUAAGUGGAACUCCAGGUGGAACGGUGAAAUGUGUAGAUAUCUGGAGGAACACCGGUGGCGAAAGCGGCUUACUGGGCCGUCUCUGACGCUGAGGUGCGAAAGCUAGGGUAGCGAACGGGAUUAGAAACCCGGGUAGUCC